rnacentral:lncRNA from 1 species
AUGUGUGCUCUCCGAGCUGAGCUGUGUACGCGUCGGGGUUCUCGACCUCAGCUUCCUGGCUGUGCAUCCAGCGUACACGACCGGUGUGGCCUGGGCUCCAGCCUAGCGUGUGGACUGGGUCGGCCGGCGCGUGCCUCCCGUGAGGGUGCCCUGGCGGGUGUGAGCCCGGCGGGCUGGAGAGCCGGGUCUCGGCGCCGCAGGUGGGUGUCCGUCCUCCCCCUCCUUCCCUCCGGGGGCAGCCUCCUCGCGGCGUGUGGCUGGGGGUGGGGGGCCCUCUGCCGGCUGCCGCGCGCGCGCACGUCGGGCUCAGCACCCGCCGUGUACGCGCCCGUGCGCGCGCCCCGCGACUCCAGCCCAGCGCUCGGAGCCGCUUUCGCUGCCACUGUCUGCUCCCCCGGGCCGCCGCCGCCGCCGCUUCCCCCCGCAGGCCCGGGGCUCUGUCCGCUGGGCCCGCGCUGCUUGCCCCGAGCCAGGAGAACGAGCUCGAGGAGGAUGCCUGGGCCCGUGAGUACCGCGGCGGCUGCGGGCCGGGCGGGCACGGAGCGCGGGCGGAAGAUGGUCCCAGGACUGAGCCCUUCCCCGCGGGCGGCUCUGCGCCCUGGCCCCGGGUCGCCGCCCCGGACCCCUACCCGGGCCGCCCCUCCCCCAGUCCACACAGGAGGGAGGGAGAGCGCCAGUGAGCGAGGGAGCCGGAACGGGGCGCGAGCCGCCACCAGUUCGCUUGGAAACGGUUGCCACAGCAACGGGGUUGCGCUCCCCGGCAACACGACUGCGGGGUGGCGACGCCCCCUCCCCCACCCUCCCCCUCCCCCCACGCGGGCCCACAGCUCGGGGGCGCAGGGGGAGAGGGGUGCGCAGCGGGGGCAUGUCGUCCCUCUGGCCCGGCUGGGUGUGCCUGCCUCCACAGCCCAUCGAGGGUGGGGGUGGGGGCGAACGGCUGUGGGCACGAGCUGGCUCCCACGUGGCUGCAGUCGUCGCAGCAGGGCUCCUGGGGUGGCUGCAAACGUGGGGGCGGCCCAGCCCCUGGGCUUGUCACGGGAGGAGGAGGCAUGGAGGCUGGGGCUGGGGUCUUUGCCCAUAGACUCCCCAACCAUCCACCGCCGCCACCACCCCCCAGGGCCUAAUCGCGCCGGCCCUGGACAUGGCCUGAGCCGAGCUGGGUUCCCCAGGGGCGACGUUUCUUACCAGGGUAGAGGAGCGAAGCUUGCAUCCCUCCUCACGGCCGGGGCACGUGUCAAACCGGGCAUGGGCCCGCGGUGA